GAUCUUGCAGCAGCCUGCAAGGCAAUGGAAGGUGUAGAAGUAAUUAUUGGCUUUGGGUGCAAGAUGUCUUGCUCUUCCUACAAGAUUUUGUAUGGAGGAUUUCUUCCACAGGAAGAAGAAGAAGAGCGAGAACUGGUUAUUGUCUAGCUCUCAAGGUGUUUCUUGUUCUUGCAAGUCGAUGGUAUGGAUGCAUUUACUGUCAAACAAGCUUGCAAAUUUGCUAAGGAAUAUGCCUUAAAGAAUGGACCGAUAGUAAGGAAUGAUGAACCAGAGAAACUUAAAGAGGAUCAUUGUUUGCGUACAGAGCAGGGUGAUUGUAAUCAGAAAGCAACCACUUCCCUUUGCCGCAACAAUCAAGCAUGUAAUGA